rnacentral:tRNA from 1 species
GCCUUCUUGGUGUAGGGGUCAACACGCUCGACGAGUAACCGAGAGGUCUGCGGUUCGAUUCCCGGCGAAGGCA